GGGGGGGAGGGGACGCACAGGGACCAAGGGACAACAGGGACACCAGUAUCACCAGUAUCACCAGUAUCACCAGUAUCACCAGUCCCAGUGUCACCAGUAUCACCAGUAUCACCAGUAUCACCAGUCCCAGUGUCCCCAGUCCCAGUGUCCGCAGUCCCAGUAUCACCAGUGUCCCCAGUCCCAGUAUCCCCAGUCCCAGUAUCACCAGUGACACCAGUCCCAGUGUCCCCAGUGUCACCAGUAUCCCCAGUGUCCCCAGUGUCCCCAGUCCCAGUGUCACCAGUGUCCCCAGUCCCAGUAUCCCCAGUUCCAUCCCAGUAUCCCCAGUUCCAUCCCAGUUCCAUCCCAGUUCCCUCCCAGUUCCUUCCCAGUUCCGUCCCAGUUCCAUCCCAGUUCCCUCCCAGUAUCCCCAGUUCCAUCCCAGUAUCCCCAGUUCCAUCCCAGUUCCAUCCCAUUUCCUUCCCAGUAUCCCCAGUUCCAUCCCAGUUCCAUUCCAUUUCCCUCCCAGUUCCACCCCAGUAUCCCCAGUUCCCUCCCAGUUCCAUCCCAGUUCCCUCCCAGUAUCCCCAGCUCCCUCCCAGUAUCCCCAGUUCCAUCCCAGUUCCAUCCCAGUAUCCCCAGCUCCCUCCCAGUAUCCCCAGUUCCAUCCC
rnacentral:lncRNA from 1 species